ACCUCAAAGCUAGCCUAUAUAUCAACUUCAACUAGACCUAAUAAAUCUAAUUCACACUAUAAUUUUUUAACCAAAACAUUCUUAACCUUUUAGUAUGGGCGACAGAACAAUAACUUCAGCGCAAUAGCUUAUGUACCGCAAGGGAAAGCUGAAAAAGAAAUGAAAUAAAUUAUUAAAGUACUAAAAAGCAGAGAUUACAUCUCGUACCUUUUGCAUCAUGAUUUAGCUAGAAAAACUAGGCAAAAAGAUCUUAAGUCUAUCCUCCCGAAACUAAACGAGCUACUCCGAAGCAGCAUUAUAGAGCUAACCCGUCUCUGUGGCAAAAGAGUGGGAAGACUUCCGAGUAGCGGUGAAAAGCCUACCGAGUUUAGUGAUAGCUGGUUACCCAAAAAAAGAACUUCAAUUCUGCAUUAAUUUUUUAAUUACCUAGACAAGACUCUCCUUAUCAAAGGAACUCAUAAGAAUUAAUAGUUAUUUAGAAGAGGUACAGCCCUUCUAAACCAAGAUACAUCUUUUUAAGAUGGGAAAUGAUCAUAAUUACCAAGGUAAUCCCCUCAGUGGGCCUAAAAGCAGCCACCUGUAAAGCAAGCGUCGCAGCUCCAGCUCAAUAACCAAACCCUUAAUCCCGAUACCCACUCACUACCCUCCUUACUUAUUGGGUUAUUUUAUAAAAAUAUAAAAGAACUUAUGCUAAAAUGAGUAAUAAAGAGAAUAUAUCUCUCCUAACACAAGUGUAUGUCAGAAGAAUUAAAUCACUGAUAAUUAAACGGCCCCAAACUGAGGCUACUAUACUAUUUAAACAUCAACCAGAAAACCCUAUUCUUCCACCCGUUAACCCUACACAGGAGUGUUACCAGGAAAGAUUUAAAGAAAAUAAAGGAACUCGGCAAACAUAAACUCCGCCUGUUUACCAAAAACAUCGCCUCUUGCCAAACCAUAAGAGGUCCCGCCUGCCCUGUGACAAUGUUCAACGGCCGCGGUAUUUUGACCGUGCAAAGGUAGCGUAAUCACUUGUCUUUUAAAUGAAGACCCGUAUGAAAGGCACCACGAGAGUUUAACUGUCUCUAUUUUCCAAUCAAUGAAAUUGAUCUAUUCGUGCAGAAGCGAAUAUAACAACAUUAGACGAGAAGACCCUAUGGAGCUUCAAACACUUAAAUUAAUUAUGUAACCUUAUUCCUCUAAGGAUAUAAACAAAAUAUACAAUACUUCUAAUUUAACUGUUUUUGGUUGGGGUGACCGAGGGGAAAAAUAAAUCCCCCUCAUCGACUGAGUACUAAGUACUUAAAAAUUAGAAUGACAAUUCUAAAUAAUAAAAUAUUUAUCGAAAAAUGACCCAGGAUUUCCUGAUCAAUGAACCUAGUUACCCUAGGGAUAACAGCGCAAUCCUCUCUUAGAGUCCCUAUCGAAGAAAGGGUUUACGACCUCGAUGUUGGAUCAGGAUAUCCUAAUGGUGCAACCGCUAUUAAGGGUUCGUUUGUUCAACGAUUAAUAAUCCUACGUGAUCUGAGUUCAGACCGGAGAAAUCCAGGUCAGUUUCUAUCUAUGAACGUACUUUUCCUAGUACGAAAGGACCGGAAAAGUGGGGCCAAUACCAUUGGUACGCCCCCUUUUCACCUAUUGAAUAAAACUCAAAUAGAUAAGAAAAGAUCACCCAAUGCCCAAGAAAGGGGUU
rnacentral:rRNA from 1 species